AUUGAACGCUGGCGGCAUGCUUUACACAUGCAAGUCGAACGGCAGCACGGGCUUCGGCCUGGUGGCGAGUGGCGAACGGGUGAGUAAUGCAUCGGAACGUGCCCAUUUGUGGGGGAUAACUACGCGAAAGCGUGGCUAAUACCGCAUACGCCCUGAGGGGGAAAGCGGGGGAUUUUUUGGAACCUCGCGCAAUUGGAGCGGCCGAUGUCAGAUUAGCUUGUUGGUGAGGUAAAGGCUCACCAAGGCGACGAUCUGUAGCGGGUCUGAGAGGAUGAUCCGCCACACUGGGACUGAGACACGGCCCAGACUCCUACGGGAGGCAGCAGUGGGGAAUUUUGGACAAUGGGGGCAACCCUGAUCCAGCCAUGCCGCGUGAGUGAAGAAGGCCUCGGGUUGUAAAGCUCUUUCAGCCGGGAAGAAACGCACUGUACCGGAAGAAUAAGCCCGGCUAACUUCGUGCCAGCAGCCGCGGUAAU
rnacentral:rRNA from 1 species